GAAUUCUGACUUUAAUCUCAGAAUUCUGACUUUAAUCUCAGAAUUCUGACUUUAAUCUCAGAACUACGGAGGCCUGUGAGCUACUUCCUUCAGUUAGCUUUAGCAGCACUGUGGAGUCAUACAUGCUGAGUGGAACUAACGAAAAUGUCCUCUUUAAGUUUCUCGUUGCGUGCUGAAGUUUACCAGGAGGCCAGUGUGUUAACAGAAGCUGACAUGCAGAAAAAUGGAACUCCACAUGCCAAGACUUAAUUUGGAGAAAAAGAAGAUGAUUGACCGUGAUGUCAUCGCUUUGGAGGAUGAUGCAGCUCUGGGACAGACACAACACACACAAUCACCAUUCACACACUUUACAUUAAUCAACUAUAAUGCUUUUUGGACUGAUGGAAGAAGCUGCCGGAAGGUCAUGUAUGCAGGAGAACAUGCUAACUCCACACAGGACCCUUUUGGGAUUUGAAGCCCUCUUGCUAUGAGGCACGCCUGCUAACCAGUACGUCAUUGUGCAGCUGAGAGAAGUUUAUUUUGAAAAUAAGACUAUUCUAAGUUGGAAGCAGUUAUUAGAAACAACAUUAAUUUGAGUUUAUUGUUUCAAUCAUGGUCAAUUGGAACAUACUUCCUUCAACACAGGAACAGCACAUAUAUGAAGAAACAAAAAUAAGUCACAAUCUGAGUAUACAUCCCUGUAUCUUACUUUUCAUUAUACAAACUAAACAGUUAAUGCUUGAAAUGGGAAGAGAAGAAGCAAAUUUAACACAUUCCCUAUUAUAAUAUGCAUAACUUAAUGAUAAAUUGUUGCUAUGUUAUAAAUUAUAAACUGUAAUGUUUCUAUAAAAAUGUAUGAAUAAAGGUCUUUCUUCUGAAA